AAAAAAAUUUCCGCCCAAAAUCGAAAUAAGAAGCUCCCCCUGUAAUUCUCUUUCUAACUCCUUCCCUCCCUCCCCCUCUCUCUCUCUCCCUCUCUCUCUCUCUCUCUUUCUCUCUGCGCCGCUGGCAAUCGAUCCCCAACGACGCUGGCGAUGGUGACACCUCCGUCGUCGAAUCCUUCGAGCGCGUCCUCAGCAACUCCCUCCGCAAGAUUUCGUCGCAAUCUUCGUCUCCCGAUGAGAUUCCGGCGUCGACCUCGUUGAUCAAGGUCAUUCGUCGGGCUCAGUCGUCGACCGAGUCGGGAAGCGAGUGUAUCAGAGGAAAGGGGUGAUCACUGACAUCAAGUCCUUCGGUACCGUCAAGCUCGGAUACGGAAUCAAGAAGCGCGAUGGCAGGCAUUUCCAGGAGGAAUGACCGAGGAGAAAAAAGUAGUAAGAAGGAGAGCCCUUGCAAAGUGGCUAAAGGAGAGUAUUUUGAGAUUAGGCCCAACAUUUAUCAAAAUAGGGCAACAAUUUUCUUCAAGGGUGGAUAUUCUUGCACAAGAAUAUGUUGAUCAGUUGUCCGAACUUCAGGUCAAAAAACUUGUCGACCAUAUGAUUCAUGCACCCAUUACACCACUGUAUUGCUCUGUACCAGCCUACUUGCACAAUUUAUUACACACCAAGUAUAUUCUGAACUCUAUAUCUGUUUUGUUCUUUAAGCAGUUAAAGAUAAUACAUAGCAUUUACAUACAUGAUAUACAUAUGACUGGUUGAUAUGAUUUAUGGUUUUUUGGUACAUAUGAAAUUAUUUUACUUUGAAAACUUGUAGUAGGUCAAUAAUUGUUUCAGUUUCUUGGGUGUCUUAUUUUUAAAAGAGCAUUUUAAAGAAUCUUCCAUAUUAGCCAGUCAAUCUAUCUUUCUUUAUUAUGACUUAUGAGAGUGCCUUCGCAGGUAGUUUGAGAAAACCGCUUUUAUGUUUGCUAACCAUAAUUGAAUUCUACUCGCUGCAAACUUGUUUAUUUGAGAAUAUAGAUAAUAAUAUAGUGAUCUAUUUUGUCCUGGUACUUCUUGUAAUUAUACUUCGAGCAUUCUAGUUGCAAUCUGACUUUUGGUGCGGUUGCAUGCUUUCUUGCAUAUUAUAGGUACUAGAUCUUAAUGUUCAAAGAGCAGGUUAAAAAAAAAAAAGCUUUAGUAGAUGUUUGAAUAAGGAAGGAGUUUCUUAGAACAAUCCUCAUUCAGCAUUCCGCAGAGUUGCACAUGUAAAAAAAAUCACAUUUUUAGAGGAGUUAUAUAUGCAAAAUGGAAUGUUAAUGGAUGCAAUCAUGCAAUGCAUUUGAAGAGAAACAUAUGUAAAAACUUUUUUUCUUAACGAUAAUUUUUUUUAAAAUUUUGACGUAGAAGAGUACAAUUUUUUAUGGAAAAGAAAAUAGUUGAAGUAUCCAUAUAACUUUUCUGAUGUUAAAAAUAACAGUCUACAAUGCUCAAGAGAUUACAGUUAUGGAACAGCGAAGAGAUGCAUAAUAGUGUGGGAAAUAUAAUAAUUUAUAAGUUCCAUAUAGCUUCGGUGAACUGUGUGACCCUAACAUAUCAGACCAGCUGCAACUCCAAAAAGAUUAAAAAAAUAAGAACCAUCUUCUAGCAUAGCUGUUGACAAACUUUGUCAACAAAGCUGUCCAUGACCUGUUCAUUCCAAAAUUUAGCUCACAAGUAGUGGCAUUUGUUCUAUAUAUAUAUUUUUGUAACAUUACUUUAUGAUAUCUUCUUUUUCAAUUGGCAAGUGGUUACCAUUUUGUCGAUAAUAUUUUUCUUGGUAUUUAUCAGUUAAUGGUGGCAUUUCCACCCUCAGAACUGAUAGAUGCAACUUUUUCAGAUAAGUUAUUAAAUUUAUUGAUUUCUAUGCUUAUUUAGGACCAAGUGCCUCCAUUUCCUUCAAAAACAGCUAUGUCAAUUGUUGAAGAAGAGCUUGGAAGCCCUGUGGAUUAUAUUUUUGAUCGGUUUGAUUAUGAGCCAAUAGCUGUCGCAAGUCUUGGUCAGGUGCAUCGUGCAUGCUUAAAGGGUCAGAAGUUGUGAUCAAAGUUCAGAGACCUGGUCUAAAGGAUCUAUUUGAAAUAUAUAAAUGUUAUAGUUGAGGUGAUGAGAGGUUACGAAGAAUGACUGAGGUGCUGCUUUUACCCUGGCCUGGACAUGUAGAGUUUUAGUACAUGACG